UUUUCCUUACGGUAACAAAAUUCAAAACGUUAUUUUACGAGCCGUUAAACACAUCGCGUGUUUCGCUUUCAGUUUCUGUAUUUUUGACUACAUCAUAUAAAGGCAUAUACAGGCGAAUAAACUCAAGAGUUUCUAAGAAAAAGACAACAAGUUACUACAUACAAAAAAGA